UUCAUGGAAAAUUUACAAAAUUAGUACAUUGGGACACAGCGCCAAUGUAUUAGCUCUUCAACAUCACACAGAUCUUCAGUCUACAGUUUAUUGGACUUUCAGCACAGACUGAUUUCCCCCAUCCCUUACCUGGAAACCACUUAACUUUUCGAGUGGACUCUCAACACGGGGCAGGCUGAGGAGAGGCAGCCCCAUGGGGGGCUCUGGACGCUGUGGAGGUGGAGGAGUUGGCAGUGCUAUCUGGGUUUGCUGGAAAUUGUUGAUCACACAUGACACCUGAUGGAGAGCAGAGAAAAGUGGAAGGCAGCGAUGGCCCCUCCUGUGAUAAACCCAGCCAGGACAUCGUUCCAGUGGUUUCUGUGUUCAGUCACCCUCAUCACCCCAACCAGCACGGCCAGAGACAGCAGCACUAGGCACAGGGUGGGCUUUGUCAGACGGGUCCCUUUGGUCCGGAACACCAGAGUCACAUACAUCUGUAAAAAAUGUCAUGUUAGUUAGUUAGUAGUGAACCAGGUGUUGAAUCUCCUCAAUCUCCUUCAGUCAGCCAGCCAGCUGAGAUAAUUCAAAGAGUGCUACAUCUUGAAUAGCUUAAUGGGUUGAAUGGCUUGAACAAGCCACAAGAGGCCGCACAGUGCAAUGAUUUUAGAGCAGCUGAAGGGUUUUGAUGAAGUACAAAAAGAAAGCACCAUGAAAAACACUGUUUUAAUGCUUCUAAAAAAUGACAGGAACAUAGCACUGUAAUUAAAAAGAACAAACGCACCAUCAAAGGUUUUGUUUUUCAGCAGAACUUAAAUCAUAGCUAGUUGUUUCUACUCAUGUCAUACAUCAUUAUUGUAGAAAUUGGAAGUGUUCACAAGUUAUUGAAAAAAAAAUUUAUCAACAAAUUCCUGUUUUUUUUUAA